UGCCUAAUUCCAGCUCCUCCAGGAAGCAAGG
rnacentral:piRNA from 1 species